UCCGUAGGUGAACCUGCGGAAGGAUCAUUAUCGUUGGGGCUUCGGCCCCGUCGAGAUAGUACCCUUGCCAUUUAUUAGCGUACCUGUUCGUUUCCUCGGCAGGCCUGCCUGUCAAUGGGGACCCCAUUAAACCUUUUUAUAUGUCGUAACCGUAACAAACAAAUAAUUAAAACUUUCAACAACGGAUCUCUUGGUUCUGGCAUCGAUGAAGAACGCAGCGAAAUGCGAUAAGUAGUGUGAAUUGCAGAAUUCAGUGAAUCAUCGAAUCUUUGAACGCACAUUGCGCCCUGUGGUAUUCCGCAGGGCAUGCCUGUUCGAGCGUCAUUUAACCUCCUCAAGCUCUGCUUGGUGUUGGGCGUUUGUCCCGCCUUUGGGCAUGGACUCGCCUCAAAAAUAUUGGCAGCCACCUCCCUGGCUUCGAGCGCAGCACAUUUGCGCCCGGUUCUCGGGGGUAGUGAUUUUCCAGAAGCACUUUUUUCGGUUGACCUCGGAUCAGGUAGGGAUACCCGCUGAACUUAA
rnacentral:rRNA from 1 species